CUGCUGGAAGUUCUGGGUGUUCCUGGGGAGAAAGUAGCCUGUCAUCCCAGACGCCAAAGAAAAAGGACCACCACCGCCCCACAAGCCCCUCGGCCCACCCCCUCACCUGGCCCUGAGGGCCCGCAGUCGCCCGGUCCUCUCCCGGUGCACCUGUUCCAGCUGCUCCCGAAGGGCGCGCCGCUGCCCCGCUGCGUCCUCCUGGGGCGGUGCCGGGCGCUGAGCGCCCUCACCUCCCAGCCCCCCGGCUCGCUGGAGCCACCAAGGGGCGGCACCCGGGCAGACCCGCCCCUCCUGCGCUCCUUAGGUGUCGUAGCAGGUGCGCGGGGCACCCACUUCAAAGGGACCCGGGUCGCCCCCAGCUCGGCCCCGCCCCCGCCGGGGCAAGCUGGUUGUGGCCCCAGCGCCUUCCCCCGGGAGGUCUUGCCUGCGGCAGGAGCGGAGCCGGGCUGGGUGGAGGCCCCAGCGGGUGAACCCGGCAGUGGCGGUUCCUGGCGAUGCGGAGGCGCUCCAGGACCUGAGGGAGGCGGCGGUCAGUGGCCGGCCCGUCGCCCGCCCCUCGGCGCCCCGGCUUCCAGCGGGCCCGCCCGGCCCGGGGACGCACCCGGAGCUGCUGCUGCUCGCGGUCCUGCCGUCGCCGGCGCCGGGCCUCGCGGUGCAGCUCCAGCAGGCGCUGCAGAGCAGUCUCCUGCUGCGCGGCGCUCACGCUCGCCGCCGCCUGCUCCCUGCCCGGGGGCGCGGGCCACGCAGCCUUCGAGGCCUUGGGGGCCUCUUCGCCGCUCCUCCGCUCCCCAGGGGCGCCCGACAGCCCCGCGCAGCCGCCCGCCGGCAGCCCCCUCGCCUCGCCCAGCUCCUGCGCCGCCGGGCCGCGGCCUCCUCCCGGGUGCUGCAACCCGUGCGGAUCGCGCUCCGGCUGAUCAGGGCCCCCGGGGCCGGGGGCCGCUAGCAUCACGGCUCCUGGGCCUGGGGGCAGCGGCCGGGCCGGGGGCCUCAGGGAUGGAAGGGGAGCCCGCGCCCCGUCCCUGGCGGCCCUCUGCUCUCCCGCGGCCGGUGCCGACUCUGGUCUCUGGCCGUUGGUCUUACGCUGCAUCAGCUGGGCGCUCCUUCCCCGGGAGCCUGGCCUCUCCCUUUCCCCAGGCUUUGGCAUCUGUUCCCCCAGGGACCUGCAGAAGUCCCCCGGAACUCCCAGGGAGUCGCCUUCCUCCCGGGGUUGUGUGGAUGCCUUUCUCUGAGCCCCCUCCCAGCCUUGUGAGAUAA
rnacentral:lncRNA from 1 species